GAUGAACGCUGGCGGCGUGCCUAAUACAUGCAAGUCGAGCGAACAGACGAGGAGCUUUCUCCUCUGACGUUAGCGGCGGACGGGUGAGUAACACGUGGAUAACCUACCUAUAAGACUGGGAUAACUUCGGGAAACCGGAGCUACUACCGGAUAAUAUAUUGAACCGCAUGGUUCAAUAGUUAAAUACGGUUUUUCUUUCAGUUAUAGAUGGAUCCGCGCCGCAUUAGCUAGUUGGUAAGGUAACGGCUUACCCAGGCUACGAUGCGUAGCCGACCUGAGAGGGUGAUCGGACACACUGGAACUGAGACGCGGUCCAGACACCUACGGGGGGCAGCAGUAGGGAAUCUUACGCAAUGGGGGAAAGCCUGACGGAGCAACGCCGCGUGAGUGAUGAAGGUCUUCGGAUCGUAAAACUCUGUUAUUAGGGGAGAACAAAUGUGUAAGUAACUAUGAACGUCUUGACGGUACCUAAUCAGAAAGCCACGGCUAACUACGUG
rnacentral:rRNA from 1 species